GAAAGUCUCCGGGCUGUCUAGAAUGGAAAGCGCCUCUCCAACGGCCGCCGUCUCGUCAGCACGAGUCUUCUUGCGCUCCUGGUACUCUGCCUC
rnacentral:RNase_MRP_RNA from 11 species